UUUGUGGAGGGUUCGAUUCUGGCUCAGGAUGAACGCUGGCGGCGUGCUCAACACAUGCAAGUCGAACGGGAUCCCAGGAGCUUGCUCCUGGGUGAGAGUGGCGAACGGGUGAGUAAUGCGUGACCGACCUGCCCCAUACACCGGAAUAGCUCCUGGAAACGGGUGGUAAUGCCGGAUGCUCCAGUUGACCGCAUGGUCCUCUGGGAAAGCUUUUGCGGUAUGGGAUGGGGUCGCGUCCUAUCAGCUUGAUGGCGGGGUAACGGCCCACCAUGGCUUCGACGGGUAGCCGGCCUGAGAGGGCGACCGGCCACAUUGGGACUGAGAUACGGCCCAGACUCCUACGGGAGGCAGCAGUGGGGAAUAUUGCACAAUGGGCGCAAGCCUGAUGCAGC
rnacentral:rRNA from 1 species